ACAGUAUCUCUGGAACUCAAUAAGUAGUCCAUCCAGGCUGAUGUUCACCUCACAGAUAUCUAAAUGCCUCUAUCCUGUGUGCAGAGUUUAAAGCAUACAACAACACUGUCCUUUUGGUCCACCUGGAAUAAUGAAAAAAGGUAUAACAAGAUCUGAGAAUGAAGAAUGGAAAAGAAUCCGAUCAUUGCUGACACCAACCUUUAGUAGUGGAAAACUGAAGGAGAUGUUCCACAUCAUCCAAGAAUAUGGAGACUUGCUGGUGAAAAACAUGAGUCAGGAAGUAGAGAAGGGCAAGAAUGUCACCACGAAAGAGUGAGUAGUGA